GGAUAAUCUGCCCUCGGGAGGGGGAUAACCCCGGGAAACUGGGAAUAAACCCCCAUAAACCAUGGAUGCUGGAAUGCUCCAUGGUUGAAAUUCCGAAAGGAGCCCGAGGAUGAGUCUGCGGCCUAUCAGGUAGUAGUGAGGGUAACUGCCUCACUAGCCUACGACGGGUACGGGCCUUGAGAGAGGGAGCCCGGAGAUGGACUCUGAGACAUGAGUCCAGGCCCUACGGGGCGCAGCAGGCGCGAAAACUCCGCAAUGCUCGAAAGAGCGACGGGGGGACUCCGAGUGCCUACACUUAGUGUAGGCUUUUCCCGAGCCUAAAAAGCUUGGGGAAUAAGGGCUGGGUAAGACGGGUGCCAGCCGCCGCGGUAAUACCCGCAGCCCGAGUGGUGGCCGCGUUUAUUGGGCUUAAAGCGUCCGUAGCCGGUCUAGUAAAUGCCUAGGUAAAUCGUCUGGCUUAACCAGGCGAAUUCUGGGUAGACUGCUAGACUAGGGACCGGGAGAAGGAGAGGGUACUCCGGGGGUAGGGGUGAAAUCCUGUAAUCCUCGGAGGACCACCAGUGGAGAAGUCGCUCUCCUAGAACGGGUCCGACGGUGAGGGACGAAAGCCUGGGGAGCAAACGGGAUUAGAUACCCCGGUAGUCCUGGCCGUAAACGAUGUGGACUUGACAUUGGGAUGGCUAUGAGCCACCCCAGUGUCGGAGGGAAACCGUUAAGUCCACCGCCUGGGGAGUACGGUCGCAAGGCUGAAACUUGA
rnacentral:rRNA from 1 species